rnacentral:lncRNA from 1 species
UCAGUCAAGCAAGACUACAAAUCGGUGAUCACAGAGCAUCGAUGCGGGAGAGCUUGGAAAAAUUAGUGCUUUUUAGAGAUUGGAUCCGCGCAGAAAGAAGGAAAUUUGGCAUAGCAGAAUCACAACCAGCAAUAAAUGAGGCAUAUGAAGAAAUGAUAGCAGAACUUGCUGAGGAAGCGACUUCACCCGGAAGUGGUGAUGAACAAGCUUCAUUUCCACCACCG